AUGACCGGCGGUUCAUUUAAAAUAGUAUCAAAUUGGGCGGUUCUCACAACGGGUAUCAGAGCUGAGUUUCCAUGAAGUGAACCUAAAAUUUGCUUAGUGGGUUGAGAGUCAAAUAAAAUUUGAUCACUUGCACUAAUGUUUACUUUUGCUAAAACUUUGAACUUAAGGCUGGUUGCUACCUUUCUUCCUUGGUCUUAGAGCUAUUUCUUCCUUAAUGCUUCACUUGUUUAAUUAAGAUAUGCUUAACCUCUCUUGUCUGCAUGAGUAGCGGUAGCGUAGGAAAACCCUUUCACCUGCUGGAAACCUUUUGAGCCUUUUUACCGGAGUUGAGAAGGUGGGAAUCACCCAUUGUCCUGAGCGCUAGUAGGUGGGUUGUAGCGCUGUUGGACAAUGCGGUUGUUGCGGAUCGUAAGUGAGUGUUAGAACGUUAAGGCGUGCUCACGCUGUGAGGAGACGUCAUGUUGCAUUCAUACCUCGCAUGCAUGCAUAUUUUCUUGUGGUUUUCAAACCUGCAUCUAACUAAUCUAGUGUGUCGUGGUCUAGUUUUCGCUGAUCUCGUUCUUGCUAAUCUUAGUGGACCAAAUCUGCUCUAUUUCUUAGAGUUGCUAUUCCGGUGUUGAUCAUGUGUUAGAUUUUUAUCUACACAUUGUCUUUCCACCCUGCCUUUGUGUAUCAUCCUCUAUCUUUCAUUCCUGACCGCUAACCGUUUUGUUUAUUAGCAGGAUGGUGUUGCGUUCGGGAAAUGAAAGGGAUGGUGCCAGUGGUUCGGGUGGUAAUAACCACCGCAACAACGAGGAUCCCCUUCCUAAUCCUCCAGUUCACCCAAACCUCGCGGACGUCCUGGCCCGACAAACUGAACUCAUGGCACACCUAGUCAAUCAGUUGGGCAAUCCCGGCAAUAAUGGUCCAAGAGCUGAGCCUCAAGUGAACAGUGACCGGACCGUCGGAGAGCGAACCCGGGGAACCCGUCGAGUCCGUUGAGCCGGAGCUUGGAGUCCCGUUCGUGGUCGAGCCGGAAGUUAACCCAGGCAAGCAGCUAAGCAUUUUCCUUGCACCUAUUUAAUCUGAUUUAGUUAGCUAUCUCAUCGGGUACUGUUGGGUUAUAUAUUAUCUAUGUAUUGCAUCCUUGUACCUACUUUGAUGCACUAGCCAUCCUUGAAUUGUUUAACCAUGUCCUUGCCACGUGUUAGUCAGCUAAUAACUUAAUUUGACUAGAUGCUUAGUUUUGCUUUGAA